CCACAUUUCAAUUCAUUAGACAUAGUCACAGAGCAGGGCUUUGAGAAUGCAGAGGAGUGGAAGUUGACUUACUGGUUACUAAAUGAGAAAAUUCAAACUAACGCGUGCCUCUGGAGCAGCUCAAGACAGCAGCUGUAAAGAAAAGUAAUAGGGCUAAAACACACCGGGCACGUGGCCAUAACUUGCAUUUGUAUGAAGGAGCCACAGUCAAGGAGAUCACUGGCACUAGCCCAGUCCAGUCUGGAUGCUGUUAGAAGACAGGAAGAUGUCCAGUUUGAAAAUCAUCAAGGACUGGAGAUGCUUUCAUAGACAGGUGUGAAACUGCAUUCUCAUGAUGGUAUGUAUCUCUGUAAAAUCACUCUGAAAAAACCAAACAAGCACAUCUUUGUAAACACAUAUUAGUAGAGAAUUACAGAUCACAUUUUAACUUAAAUAUGUGGUAGCAUCUGUAGAGAGAUCUCAGCAUUCAGCAAAUCUCAUUUUACAAGGAGGAAAUUGAAAUUCUAGGAAGGAACAUUAUAGCAAUUUCAGUGAUUAUGAGACUCUGGGCAGGCAAGACACUAGUUCCCAGCACAGGUCUUUCAGCCAUAACAAGACAUGCCUGCCAGUGGAUGGAGAGAAUAUAGAUCUGAUUUGUAACAUAAAUGUGGUUAGAUACAAGUAAUUAGCUAUCAAUAUAGCCUGAAACAAAAAUCACGUUAUCUUUUUUAUUGAGCUUGUGCCUACAUGGUUAGCUUUUAUUAUUAUUUUUUUACACUGAAUACACCGUUUGUACAAAAGCUUUUUAAAAUUUAAAUCAUCUUGAUUAUUUACUAUGAAAACUGAUAAAAGGGGCUUCACAAGUGUCCUGAUUUACCAUACUGUGUGAAAGGUAUUCUAACUUUUAGAAAGUCAUCUGUUCUUAGUGCUAUGCAAAUAUUUAUUAAUUGAUCAAUUAAACAUGAGAAAUACGGAACUGUACUUAAAUUUCAUGAAAAAAAUAAAUUUCACUUUGGAUUUAUGUGGAGCUACUAAAUACCCAACCUCACAUACCCAUGAAAGGGAAAAAUAAAACGAGAUACAUUGUUUCAAAUGAUUAGUAAGUUUCAGUGGCUUUGGACUCAUCAUCUCAUUUGUCCUCAGUGACCACCUUUGCCUCAUGAAAAUAGCAUCUCUGUUCAUUGGUGGGACAACUGAGGCUUAGCUCAGACAACAAAAUAUGAAUGGUUACAAUUGCACCACAAAGUCCAGACUUUUUUCCCCACAAUCCAGUCAAUUCUGUAACUUACUAAAAAGGCUUCAUAAUGUGCAGUUUUCUAUAACUAUUCUAAAUGCCUCAGUGCCCAAGUGGAACAUACAAAGAAGGAAAAACUGGCAAAUCCAAAUUCCCUGCAGAUGAGACGUUCAAAUCCAAGCGGCUUGUGCUGAUCUUUGUGAGCAUGGCUUCACAGUGCAUCCCAG
ensembl:lncRNA